rnacentral:rRNA from 1 species
UACGUAGGGUGCGAGCGUUAAUCGGAAUUACUGGGCGUAAAGCGUGCGCAGGCGGUUUUGUAAGUCAGAUGUGAAAUCCCCGGGCUUAACCUGGGAACUGCGUUUGAAACUACAAGGCUAGAGUGUGGCAGAGGGGGGUGGAAUUCCACGUGUAGCAGUGAAAUGCGUAGAGAUGUGGAGGAACACCGAUGGCGAAGGCAGCCCCCUGGGUUAACACUGACGCUCAGGCGCGAAAGCGUGGGGAGCAAACAGG